rnacentral:sRNA from 1 species
GCUGGGCGCGGUGACGCACACCUGUAAUCCCAGCGGCUUGGGAGUCUGAGACAGGAGGAUCACGAGUUCAAAGCCAGCUUCAGCAAAAAGCAAGGUGCUAAAACCUCGCUUUUAGCAGUAAACCCUGUCUCUA